rnacentral:rRNA from 1 species
UUAGAGUUUGAUCCUGGCUCAGAUUGAACGCUGGCGGAAUGCUUUACACAUGCAAGUCGAGCGGCAGCGCGGUCUUCGGACUGGCGGCGAGCGGCGAACGGGUGAGUAAUACAUCGGAACAUGCCCAGUCGUGGGGGAUAACACUUCGAAAGAAGUGCUAAUACCGCAUACGUCCUGAGGGAGAAAGCGGGGGAUCGCAAGACCUCGCGCGAUUGGAGUGGCCGAUGUCAGAUUAGCUAGUUGGUGGGGUAAAGGCCUACCAAGGCAACGAUCUGUAGCUGGUCUGAGAGGAUGAUCAGCCACACUGGGACUGAGACACGGCCCAGACUCCUACGGGAGGCAGCAGUGGGGAAUUUUGGACAAUGGGGGCAACCCUGAUCCAGCCAUUCCGCGUGAGUGAAGAAGGCCUUCGGGUUGUAAAGCUCUUUCGGCWKGAACGAAACGGCGAGCUCUAACAUAGCUCGCUAAUGACGGUACCUGAAGAAGAAGCACCGGCUAACUACGUGCCAGCAGCCGCGGUAAUACGUAGGGUGCGAGCGUUAAUCGGAAUUACUGGGCGUAAAGCGUGCGCAGGCGGUUGUGUAAGACAGGUGUGAAAUCCCCGGGCUUAACCUGGGAACUGCGCUUGUGACUGCACGGCUAGAGUAUGGCAGAGGGGGGUGGAAUUCCAGCGUGUAGCAGUGAAAUGCGUAGAGAUGUGGAGGAACACCGAUGGCGAAGGCAGCCCCCUGGGCCAAUACUACUCUCAUCACAAAGCG